GAGGGGGUCCGUGUGAAAAUGGCCGCCCCGCUCCGACUGCUCGCCAAGCCCAGAGCAGUGGCAGGAAACGCGUCAGCCGCCGCCUACCCACCCACCGACCGGCUGCCGGGAGCGGAAAGGGCGGCUGGAGGCGGACGGCAGGCAGGGAGACAGCUGGAGAACACGGCUGAUAAUGUCCUGUGAAGCACCUUGGAGCAUUUUAUUAUGUUAAAGGCACUAUACAAACAUAAGUUGUUGUCCUGCACCAAUACCGCAAGUAAAUUAAUAUUUAGCACAACGUUCUCUCUGCCAAAUCUCAGAACAUUAAAUUGUCCUUUUUAAAUUGGCACUGCCGUUUCUUCAUCCACUGAUCAAGCUUGUCAAGAUCCUUUAGAAUUUGUACGCCUUGAUAUUCACCAUUUGCCACUGCUUCCAAUUUGGUAUUGUUGCAAAUUUGAAUGCUUUAAACAUGAUUCUAAAUUAAGGGUCUCAAACUUUUCACUUCUACAGACUACCUGUAACAAAGUAUUAUUUUCUGUAUAAAAAUUAUAGAAUUUAU